rnacentral:rRNA from 1 species
GACGAACGCUGGCGGCGUGCUUAACACAUGCAAGUCGAGCGGUAAGGCCCUUUCGGGGGUACACGAGCGGCGAACGGGUGAGUAACACGUGGGUGACCUGCCCUCAGCUCUGGGAUAAGCCUGGGAAACCGGGUCUAAUACUGGAUAUGACUCCAUGACGCAUGUUGUGGGGUGGAAAGCCUUGUGCGGCUGAGGAUGGGCCCGCGGCCUAUCAGCUUGUUGGUGGGGUGANGGCCUACCAAGGCGACGACGGGUAGCCGGCCUGAGAGGGCGACCGGCCACACUGGGACUGAGACACGGCCCAGACUCCUACGGGAGGCAGCAGUGGGGAAUCUUGCGCAAUGGGCGAAAGCCUGACGCAGCGACGCCGCGUGAGGGAUGACGGCCUCGGUGUAACUCUUCAGCUCCGACGAAGCGAGAGUGACGGUAGGAGCAGAAGAA